rnacentral:rRNA from 1 species
ACUAUUGGAAACGAUAGCUAAUACCGCAUAACAAUGGAUGACCCAUGUCAUUUAUUUGAAAGGGGCAAAUGCUCCACUACAAGAUGGACCUGCGUUGUAUUAGCUAGUAGGUGAGGUAACGGCUCACCUAGGCGACGAUACAUAGCCGACCUGAGAGGGUGAUCGGCCACACUGGGACUGAGACACGGCCCAGACUCCUACGGGAGGCAGCAGUAGGGAAUCUUCGGCAAUGGGGGCAACCCUGACCGAGCAACGCCGCGUGAGUGAAGAAGGUUUUCGGAUCGUAAAGCUCUGUUGUAAGCCAAGAACGAGUGUGAGAGUGGAAAGUUCACACUGUGACGGUAGCUUACCAGAAAGGGACGGCUAACUACGUGCCAGCAGCCGCGGUAAUACGUAGGUCCCGAGCGUUGUCCGGAUUUAUUGGGCGUAAAGCGAGCGCAGGCGGUUUGAUAAGUCUGAAGUUAAAGGCUGUGGCUCAACCAUAGUUCGCUUUGGAAACUGUCAAACUUGAGUGCAGAAGGGGAGAGUGGAAUUCCAUGUGUAGCGGUGAAAUGCGUAGAUAUAUGGAGGAAC